UACCGAGGGUGCAAGCGUUAAUCGGAAUUACUGGGCGUAAAGCGUGCGUAGACGGUUACAUAAGUCGGGUGUGAAAGCCCCGGGCUCAACCUGGGAAUUGCAUUCGAGACUGCGUAGCUAGGGUGCGGAAGAGGGAAGCGGAAUUUCCGGUGUAGCGGUGAAAUGCGUAGAUAUCGGAAGGAACACCAGUGGCGAAAGCGGCUUCCUGGUCCAGCACCGACGUUCAGGCACGAAAGCGUGGGGAGCAAACAGG
rnacentral:rRNA from 1 species